rnacentral:rRNA from 1 species
CCCGCACAAGCGGUGGAGCAUGUGGUUUAAUUCGAUGCAACGCGAAGAACCUUACCUGGGCUUGACAUCCCGGGAAUCCCUUGGAAACAAGGGAGUGCCCUUCGGGGAACCUGGAGACAGGUGCUGCACGGCUGUCGUCAGCUCGUGUCGUGAGAUGUAGGGUUAAGUCCCGCAACGAGCGCAACCCUUGUCUUUAAUUGCCAUCAUUGAGUUGGGCACUUUAAAGAGACUGCCGGUGUUAAACCGGAGGAAGGUGGGGAUGACGUCAAGUCCUCAUGGCCUUUAUGCCCAGGGCUACACACGUGCUACAAUGGGUGGUACAAAGAGCAGCCAGCUCGCGAGAGUGAGCAAAUCUCAAAAAGCCAUCCUCAGUUCGGAUUGAAGUCUGCAACUCGACUUCAUGAAGUUGGAAUCGCUAGUAAUCGCGGAUCAGCAUGCCGCGGUCGAAUACGUUCCCGGGCCUU